CUGGCUAUCUUUCUCUCUCUUUUUUUACCUCUAAAUAGCUAGAACUUGCUUAUAAUUUGUCUUUGUAAUAUCAAGAUCUUAACUUUUACAGAAAACGCCAAUAAAGACCAGAACUUUGAGUCUUAAUCACUUGUUUUCACGAUCUAGGUCUUCCAGAUCAGACUGAAAUCCUUUCAAAACUGUAAGAGCAUCCACUGUUUUUACUCAUUUUAAGAUCUGGGUCUUGACCCUUUGUUUGAUUUUCCAAUCUAGGCAUGGGUUUUACCUUUCUGGUAGUUACCCUCACAAAUAUGGUAUUGCUGAUACUUUGUCAGUGAAAGUGAAUUCGGUCACUUCUAUCGAGACUGAGAUUCCUUUUAGCUAUUAUAGUUUACCUUUUUGUAAGCUUUUAGAGGGUGUUAAAUAUAGUGUUGAAAAUCUUGGUGAGGUUCUAAUGGGAGAUAGGAUUGAGAACUCACCUUGUAAGUUAAAGAUGUAUACCAAUGGUUGAAAGAUUUGCUACCGAAAAAUGGUUGAAAGAUUAGUUUGAGGUUGAUACCUUUCUUGUUUCCUGAUUAUUAAGGUUCCUUGUUUUUCAGAAUCAUGUUCAUGAUUAAUAAGCUUUGCUACAGAACCAUGUCCUUGUUUGCUUGAUGAUCUAGGUAGAGCAACUACACAAGAUAUACAAGCUAUGUGGUUCACCAUCAUAUGAAUACUGGAAAAAAUUAAAUUAAACCACUUUGUUCGUAUUCAUCGGUGAUAGGUGUUUGUAUUGUUUCCUGAAUUCUGGAUGAAAUUAAACUAAACUAAACAUGAUAUUGGUUUAUAGACCCCCAUAUGAUCUUAUAUGUUGUUCUUCUUGCUGAUGAAAUCCCGGAAGCACCGCUGUGUUCUUAUGCAUCUAUGGUUCUAAUUCCAAACUUCAAAUGCAAACCUAACCUUUAGGUUCUUUUGUUUUGCAUUAUGGUUUUAACUGGUUCUUUACGUGCCAAUUCUCAAUGGAUUUAAAAAUCCAUGUCUGCUGGAUAUGUAUUGUUAUUUCAUUAGUUAUUGUUAUUUGAGGAUUUAAUUGGUGGAAAUUUGAUGAUCAUGGCGGUUUUUGGCAUAAAAGCUAGUUUUGGAACAUAUGCCUUUGGUUCAAGAGACUUUUAGCCCGCGUAUUAAAACUCACUACACCUAAGCCACUGACCCGUUGAAUAUCAAGAAUUUAUGAUACCAUUGAUGCCUGAAAUUCCACUCCACCAGGUAAGAUUUUAUGGACACUUUUUUUCUUUUUCUUCUUCUUGUUCAUUGUUUUUAUUUUAUUAAAUUAAGAUUGGAGUCAGAAUUUGAAAGUUCUAUUCUUUGAUUUAUGUACGUAGUCAAUCUGGGGUUGAUCCAAUGUUAAGAUCAAUGAUUGAUUUUUUCAGUUCUUUCUAUGAGAAGCUCUCUCUACGCCACCAGGGCAAUGAUUGAGGUAGUUAAAGCUCGUCCAAUUUCUUAUAGUGUCACUUGCUGUUUGCAAAGUAGGUGCUAUGGUUAAGAAGAUCCGUCUUUACCAGCACAUUACAAAUCUUCUUGGAAACAAGACCUUGGUUUUGCCAGUGCCUGCAUUCAAUGUCGUAAAUGGAGGUUCACAUGCUGAUAAUAAACUGGCAAUGCAGGUAAUUUUGAUGACAAAGCUAACACAUGGUUAAAUGGCUUUUCAACCCUAAAUUGAGUUUGCCUGAUUGUUUGAUUAUGAACUUUGUUGAUUGCUCUGAAUUUGCUGGCUUUUUACUAGCUUGUGUUCCUAGAUUUGUAAAUUUGACAUUGAAGAAUUUUAAAAGUAAUAAUUAUUAAUUUAUUAAAAAAAAAUUCAUGACUUCCUA